GGAGUGAUUUGGAGCUUCAAGUCAAUUUUUGAGGUUCAAAAACAGAAAAUAGAUAAAAGAAAAAGAAAAACCGAAGAAAACAGGAGAAAACCGGCUGAACCGGACCGAACAGGACCGGACCGACCGGCUGAGCAGCGCCCGGACCGCCCGCCUGCCCACGCCUCCACUCCGUUUCCUCCGUGCACACGACUCCAAAUCCGAAACCGCGCGC
rnacentral:lncRNA from 1 species